rnacentral:rRNA from 1 species
AAAUUGAAGAGUUUGAUCAUGGCUCAGAUUGAACGCUGGCGGCAGGCCUAACACAUGCAAGUCGAGCGGAAACGAGUUAUCAGAACCUUCGGGGGACGAUAACGGCGUCGAGCGGCGGACGGGUGAGUAAUGCCUAGGAAAUUGCCCUGAUGUGGGGGAUAACCAUUGGAAACGAUGGCUAAUACCGCAUGAUGCCUACGGGCC